GACAGAGGAUGCAAGCGUUAUCCGGAAUGAUUGGGCGUAAAGCGUCUGUAGGUGGCUUUUUAAGUCCGCCGUCAAAUCCCAGGGCUCAACCCUGGACAGGCGGUGGAAACUACCAAGCUGGAGUACGGUAGGGGCAGAGGGAAUUCCCGGUGUAGUGGUGAAAUGCGUAGAUAUCGGGAGGAACACCAGUGGCGAAGGCGACUACCUGGCCUGUUCUUGACGCUGAGGCGCGAAAGCUAGGGGAGCAAACGGG
rnacentral:rRNA from 1 species